rnacentral:misc_RNA from 1 species
UCCGGUUUGUCACCGGCAGUCUCGCAUGAGUCCCCAGCUUUACCUGCUGGCAACAUGCGACGGGGGUUGCGCUCGUUGCGGGACUUAACCCAACAUCUCACGACACGAGCUGACGACAGCCAUGCAGCACCUGUGUCGGCUCCCCUUGCGGGGUUGGGCCCCUUUCGGUUUCCUACCACCGACAUGUCAAACCCAGGUAAGGUUUUUCGCGUUGCGUCGAAUUGAACCACAUGCUCCACCGCUUGUGCGGGUCCCCGUCAAUUCCUUUGAGUUUUAAUCUUGCGACCGUACUCCCCAGGCGGAAUGCUUAAAGCGUUAGCUGCGGCACGGGGGGAGUCGAUACCCCCCACACCUAGCACCCAUCGUUUACGGCGUGGACUAC